AUCUAAUGUGGCAGAAUAGUGCAAUGGAUUUAAGGCCCAUAUAUAAGGCAAAGCUUUCUUUAGA
rnacentral:tRNA from 1 species